rnacentral:rRNA from 1 species
AGCAGCCGCGGUAAUUCCAGCUCCAAUAGCGUAUAUUAAAGUUGUUGCAGUUAAAAAGCUCGUAGUUGAGUUUCGGGACCAAUUUGUUGGUCGUGCCUCGGUACGUACUGGUAUUAUUGGUUUCUCCCUUCUGAAGAACCUCGAUGUCAUUAAUUUGGUGUCGUGGGGAAUCAGGACUGUUACUUUGAAAAAAUUAGAGUGUUUAAAGCAGGCAUACGCUUGAAUACAUUAGCAUGGAAUAAUGAAAUAGGACGUUUGAUUCUAUUUUGUUGGUUUCUAGGAUCGACGUAAUGAUUAAUAGGGAUAGUUGGGGGCAUUAGUAUUCAAUUGUCAGAGGUGAAAUUCUUGGAUUUAUUGAAGACUAACUACUGCGAAAGCAUUUGCCAAGGAUGUUUUCAUUAAUCAAGAACGAAAGUUAGGGGAUCGAAGACGAUCAGAUACCGUCGUAGUCUUAACCAUAAACUAUGCCGACUAGGGAUCGGAUGAUGUUAAUUUUUUAAUGACUCAUUUCGGCGCCUUA